GAUGAACGCUGGCGGCGUGCCUAAUACAUGCAAGUCGAGCGAACGGACGAGAAGCUUGCUUCUCUGAUGUUAGCGGCGGACGGGUGAGUAACACGUGGAUAACCUACCUAUAAGACUGGGAUAACUUCGGGAAACCGUAGCUAAUACCGGAUAAUAUUUUGAACCGCAUGGUUCAAAAGUGAAAGACGGUCUUGCUGUCACUUAUUGAUGGAUCCGCGCUGCAUUAGCUAGUUGGUAAGGUAACGGCUUACCAAGGCAACGAUGCAUAGCCGACCUGAGAGGGUGAUCGGCCACACUGGAACUGAGACACGGUCCAGACUCCUACGGGAGGCAGCAGUAGGGAAUCUUCCGCAAUGGGCGAAAGCCUGACGGAGCAACGCCGCGUGAGUGAUGAAGGUCUUCGGAUCGUAAAACUCUGUUAUUAGGGAAGAACAUAUGUGUAAGUAACUGUGCACAUCUUGACGGUACCUAAUCAGAAAGCCACGGCUAACUACGUG
rnacentral:rRNA from 1 species